rnacentral:rRNA from 1 species
GUCGAACGCGUCUUGGUUAUUGAUGUUGGAUGCUUGCAUUUAACUGAUUUAACAUUGAGACGAGUGGCGAACUGGUGAGUAACACGUGGGUAACCUGCCCUUGAAGUAGGGGAUAACACUUGGAAACAGGUGCUAAUACCGUAUAACAACCAAAACCACCUGGUUUUGGUUUAAAAGAUGGCUUCGGCUAUCACUUUAGGAUGGACCCGCGGCGUAUUAGCUUGUUGGUAAGGUAACGGCCUACCAAGGCAAUGAUACGUAGCCGACCUGAGAGGGUAAUCGGCCACAUUGGGACUGAGACACGGCCCAAACUCCUACGGGAGGCAGCAGUAGGGAAUCUUCCACAAUGGACGAAAGUCUGAUGGAGCAACGCCGCGUGAGUGAUGAAGGGUUUCGGCUCGUAAAACUCUGUUGUUGGAGAAGAACAGGUGUGAGAGUAACUGUUCACAUCUUGACGGUAUCCAACCAGAAAGCCACGGCUAACUACGUGCCAGCAGCCGCGGUAAUACGUAGGUGGCAAGCGUUGUCCGGAUUUAUUGGGCGUAAAGCGAGCGCAGGCGGUUUCUUAGGUCUGAUGUGAAAGCCUUCGGCUUAACCGGAGAAGUGCAUCGGAAACCAGGAGACUUGAGUGCAGAAGAGGACAGUGGAACUCCAUGUGUAGCGGUGAAAUGCGUAGAUAUAUGGAAGAACACCAGUGGCGAAGGCGGCUGUCUGGUCUGUAACUGACGCUGAGGCUCGAAAGCAUGGGUAGCGAACAGGAUUAGAUACCCUGGUAGUCCAUGCCGUAAACGAUGAGUGCUAAGUGUUGGAGGGUUUCCGCCCUUCAGUGCUGCAGCUAACGCAUUAAGCACUCCGCCUGGGGAGUACGACCGCAAGGU